rnacentral:rRNA from 1 species
ACUAACUAGGAUUCCCCCAGUAGCGGCGAGCGAAGAGGGAAGAGCCCAGCACUGAAUCCCGCGGUCUGACGGCCGCCGGGAAAUGUAGUGUUAGGGAGGGUCCGCUAUCCCGUCGUCGACGAUGCGUCCAAGUCCUUCUUGAACGGGGCCAUUUACCCAUAGAGGGUGCCAGGCCCGUAGUGACCGUCGUCGAUUUCGGGAGGACCUCUCCUCAGAGUCGGGUUGCUUGAGAGUGCAGCCCAAAGAGGGUGGUAAACUCCAUCUAAGGCUAAAUAUAACCACGAGACCGAUAGCGAACAAGUACCGUGAGGGAAAGUUGAAAAGAACUUUGAAGAGAGAGUUCAAUAGUACGUGAAACCGUUUAGGGGUAAACCUGAGAAACCCGAAAGAUCGAACGGAGAGAUUCAGCGCGACGCCGGUCGGAUGCUCGGAUACCGUGUGACGUCUGCCCUCGGGCACGGCGCGCCGGUCCGGCAUUCCGGCAGGCACGCGUGCACUUCUCUUCCAGUAGGACGUCGCGACCCGUAGGGUGUCGGUCUAAGGUGCGCGGUGGAGACCGUGCGGCUCAUCGCCGUGCGGACCCGCGGCUACCGGGCCGACCUGCCCGACGGAAUGAUCAAAGGCGAGGGGCCGCGCUCGUGCGCGUUCGACCCGCCGCAAGCUCUGACGGUCAACCCGGCUCCCGGACCUAGUGCCGGCGCAGGGCCCGUUCGGCUGUUGGCGGCGGUGUUCUCGGACAGACCUCGAACCACGCCGGUCAGCGACGCUAUUGCUUUGGGUACUUUCAGGGCCCGUCUUGAAACACGGACCAAGGAGUCUAGCAUGUGCGCGAGUCAUUGGGACUUGAUAAACCUAAAGGCGCAAUGAAAGUGAAGGCGUGCCUUGCGCGCGCCGAGGGAAGAUGGGCCGGACCACGGUCCGGCCUCGCACUCCCGGGGCGUCUCGUUCUCAUUGCGAGAAGAGGCGCACCUAGAGCGUACACGCUGGGACCCGAAAGAUGGUGAACUAUGCCUGGUCAGGACGAAGUCAGGGGAAACCCUGAUGGAGGUCCGUAGCGAUUCUGACGUGCAAAUCGAUCGUCUGAACUGGGUAUAGGGGCGAAAGACUAAUCGAACCGUCUAGUAGCUGGUUCCCUCCGAAGUUUCCCUCAGGAUAGCUGGCGCUCGCGAUGCGAGUUUCAUCUGGUAAAGCGAAUGAUUAGAGGCAUUGGGGUCGAAACGGCCUCAACCUAUUCUCAAACUUUAAAUGGGUGAGAUCUCCGGCUUGCUUAAACGUGAAGCCGCGAGAAUCUUAUUGAAUCAGAG